UUCUUUAGCCCGUGGGAAUGAAAAGAUCAUGGGCAGAAAGCCUCAGUUCAAACUUUGCUUAAAUCAUUUUCAUUUUUUAAGUAUUUGCCAGUGGUGUUCCAGGCACUGGGGGAAUACAUCAGUGAACAUGACAGACAAGGUCCCUGCCUUUCUGGUGCUUGCAUUUUAAUGGAAGAGACUUUAGUGAAAGAUUUUAGAGAAAUAAGCUGCAAUGGUAACUUCUGUGAAGAAAGGAAAGCAAGGCUGUCUGAUAACGUGACUAGGAGCCUAGUUUACUUUGGCUGGGCAGUCUCUCUGAAAAGGACAUUUAAGUUGAGACAUCAGUGAUGUUGAGGAGACCAAUGAUGCGAGCUCAGAGUCAAUAGCAUCCUUCUCUAAACAGGAGGUCAUGAGUAGCUUUCUGCCAGAGGGAGGGUGUUACGAGCUGCUCACUGUGAUAGGCAAAGGAUUUGAGGACCUGAUGACUGUGA
rnacentral:sRNA from 1 species